rnacentral:lncRNA from 1 species
CAGUCGAGAGGGAGAGACGAGCAGUUGAGACUGAUGUGAAGGUGUGUGUGCGUGACUGAUGAAGGAGGGGGAGAAAAGGGAGUUUUGGGCUAGGUUUGGGUUUGAGUUUGGGCCGAGUCAGUGGGCCGAUUUUCUUUUAUCAGCUGGGCCCCUGAUUAUUUUAAAUCAUGGGCUGCCCAAGUUUUUUUUUUCAAUUGGAUUUGUUCAGAUUUUAUUUAAAGGAGCUACACUAUUAUAAUUAAUUAGACUUUUUAAGUUUAAUUAAUUAUUUUCAAAGAGUAAUUUUU